UGCAUCAGCACAGGGUCCGACGCAGGGUUCGAACCCACAAACCGUGAGAUCAUGACCUGAACUGAAAUGAAGGGUCAGACACUUAACUGCUGAGCUAUCCAGACACCCCUCUACAUGUUUAUUAAUUGACUCCUUUGUAACCUCUGGUACUUUAUGAAGAGUAACAAAUUUCUAGCAGCACCCACAUAAACCAACAUCACUUUGUAGAACUACGCCAGUGCAUUUAGGCACAAACGGGGUCUGAGCAGCAAGGUACAGACCUUAUUGUAAUUUUUUUUUUCUUUAUCAGACGCUCAGUCUUCCUGUGCAUAUACUCAGAUUGCUAAGUACUGGAGAGGACGCAGAAUUCAGAUUCCCACAUAGAGACAGGGGAGGAAAAUGAACACUUUUUCUCAUGUGCGGUGAAUAUUUAAAGCGAAGAACAUGCUAACCAGAGAGAAGAAUUUGGAAAAAGUGGGGGUGGGGGAGGAAGGGGUAAUAUUUGCAAUUUUCACAACAGUCAAAUCAUUCUGUCAUCCCAAGGAACCUGGUUCCCCCUGCACACCCCGGAGUCAAACUGCCGCGGUCGAGAAUAAAAACGCAGAUGGUAAUGACCGUGUAUACAUGGGUGCCUCAUCAGGUGCACGCUUUAAAGACAGAUCUUGAACCAUGAUGUCGGGCAGCGUGGGAAAAACUUGUGUUGCAAGUUACAAGAAGUUAUGUGACUCGUUCACGCUCUGGGUGAACUCCCUCAUGCCUCCCGGCUCCUCUUGGUUGGGGUCCGGGAAUCCUGGGAGGCACUGCCCACUUCUCCACACAACACACUAGUGGGGUCAUCCCUGGAAUGUUAACCCCUCGAGGGGAACGUUAACAGCAGGCCGCCUCGUCCAGGAGCAGGAAGUCCGUCUACCUCUUCGAGGACUGAUGCUUUGAAAAUAAGCCUGAGGAGGAGCGUGGCCAACGUGCAGGGGAGGGAGGACAUCACAGAACAGAGAAGCGACUAGUCUGACACGUUGCUCUUCCCUGGCCAUUGGCGGUACUGAAGAUGCUUUUUCCCCUCUACAUGUUGGGAAGGAGUUGGGACCGUAGUUUUCAGGAACGCUUUUUUCAACCAUUAAUUAGAUCUUAAAAAUAUCAGCAAGCAUUUUGAAGGAAUUUCUACAGACCAGACUUUAUCCUGAGCACUUCACGUAUUUAUGUCUCAUCAGGACUCUGGAUUUACUGAUGAGUCACCAAGACAUGGGAGGUUGAAGCAAUUUGCUCAGGGUCAAACAGCGUGGGGAUGAUGGAGUCACGAUUUGCACAUAGUCUGCUUUAAGCCCGUGCUUUAUGGAUGGCAAGGUUCGUCCUUCCUCCCUCC